AGAGUUUGAUCAUGGCUCAGAUUGAACGCUAGCGGCAUGCUUAACACAUGCAAGUCGAACGGUAACAGGUCUAGCUUGCUAGAUGCUGACGAGUGGCGGACGGGUGAGUAACGCGUAGGAAUCUACCUUGUAGUGGGGGAUAACUUGGGGAAACCCAAGCUAAUACCGCAUGAGCCCCAAGGGGGAAAGCAUGGGACCGAAAGGCCAUGUGCUAUGAGAUGAGCCUGCGUCGGAUUAGCUAGUUGGUAGGGUAAAGGCCUACCAAGGCGACGAUCCGUAGCUGGUCUGAGAGGACGACCAGCCACACUGGGACUGAGACACGGCCCAGACUCCUACGGGAGGCAGCAGUGGGGAAUAUUGGACAAUGGGCGCAAGCCUGAUCCAGCAAUGCCGCGUGUGAAGAAGGCCUGCGGGUUGUAAAGCACUUUCAGUGGGGAGGAAGGCCUCGAUGUUAAUAGUAUCGAGGAUUGACGUUACCUACAGAAGAAGCACCGGCUAACUCUGUGCCAGCAGCCGCGGUA
rnacentral:rRNA from 1 species